rnacentral:rRNA from 1 species
UGCCCGAAAGGGUGACGAAGCGACGCCGCGUGGGUGAGGAAGGCCUUCGGGUUGUAAAGCCCUGUCAGGAGUUAAGAAAUGUAGACUCGCUAAUAUCGGGUCUAUUUGACAAAGGCUCCAAAGGAAGCCACGGCUAACUCUGUGCCAGCAGCCGCGGUAAUACAGAGGUGGCAAGCGUUGUUCGGAAUUAUUGGGCGUAAAGAGCACGUAGGUGGAUUUGUAAGUCAGACGUGAAAGCCUUCUGUUCAACGGAAGAAUUGCAUCUGAAACUACAAACCUUGAGUGUAGGAGGGGAGAAUGGAACUUCUGGUGGAGCGGUGAAGUGCGUAGAUAUCAGAAGGAACGCCGGCGGCGAAAGCGAUUCUCUGGCCUAUUACUGACACUCAGUGUGCGAAAGCUAGGGGAGCAAACGGGAUUAGAUACCCCGGUAGUCCUAGCCGUAAACGAUGGGCACUAAGUAGAGGGGU